GGGCAUAUAGCUCAGUUGGUUAGAGCGCUUCUCUGAUAAGGAAGAGGUCCCUGGUUCGAAUCCAGGUAUGCCCACCA
rnacentral:tRNA from 1 species